rnacentral:rRNA from 1 species
UACGUAGGGUGCAAGCGUUGUCCGGAAUUAUUGGGCGUAAAGAGCUCGUAGGCGGUCUGUCGCGUCGGAUGUGAAAAUCAGGGCUCAACCCUGGACCUGCAUUCGAUACGGGCAGACUAGAGUUCGGUAGGGGAGACUGGAAUUCCUGGUGUAGCGGUGGAAUGCGCAGAUAUCAGGAGGAACACCAGUGGCGAAGGCGGCUCACUGGCCCGAUACUGACGCUGAGGCACGAAAGCGUGGGGAGCAAACAGG